AUGUACAUCAGAAAGCAGGAUCCAAAAUUGAAGCUGCGAUCUCCCGAAGUUACAAUUCUCCAGCCGUCUGACCAGGAAAUUAAUAGCAAGGGCAAAGCCACGGUGGUUUGUCUCAUCACUGAUUUCUACCCGGACAACAUCAAGAUACAUUGGUUUAUUGAUGACGUUAAACAAUCCAAUGAUGGUCCUAACAUCCAGAUGGAUCCCAGCUCCCAAAGCGAUGACGGAGGGAUCACCUUCAGUAUCAGUAGUCGCAUUAGAUUGGACGCCCGAGAUUGCGCAAAGGCCAAGCAAAUCGUGUGUGAAGUAAACCACUACAAGAAUGGAUCUACAUCACAAACUAAACGUGUCACCUACAACAUCAAACACGAGACGUGUGGCUUAAAUAAAGAGGCCAAAACACAGGCAAUGGAAGCUGGGAAACUGACUUAUCUGAUCCUGAUUUGCAAGAGCAUUCUCUAUGGAAUAAUUGCUUCUGUGCUAGCUUGCAAAGGCAAGACAUCUUCCAACAAGAGGUUUGAUUGAGGGAGCAAGGAGAUUCAACAACAAUGGUACAAAAGAAUGCAUAUCCACGAUCUUGUGGUUUCAAGAUUCUAUGAUCCCACCUUUCCUCGGAAUUGCAAUCGUUGUGGAAUAUUAAUUGGCUUUGCCGCAUUAGUUAAGUAUGUUUGCUCAUGACCCCGUUACAACUUUGACUCUGGAAUCAUAUUGCUUGUAAAUUAUGUGGAUUUUCCAAAUCCAACUAAAGUCUUUGCACAGCACUCUGAAGUCGCCAGAGAAUUUGCCAUUUGGCUCUUUUUUCUGUACAUGGUCAUUUCUUAAGCAAUAAAGAGAGA